rnacentral:rRNA from 1 species
GAUGAACGCUGGCGGCGUGCUUAACACAUGCAAGUCGAACGGGAAACCUUUUAUUGAAGCUUCGGCAGAUUUAGCUGGUUUCUAGUGGCGGACUGGUGAGUAACGCGUGGGUAACCUGCCUUAUACAGGGGGAUAACAACCAGAAAUGGUUGCUAAUACCGCAUAAGCGCACAGGACCGCAUGGUCCGGUGUGAAAAACUCCGGUGGUAUAAGAUGGACCCGCGUUGGAUUAGCUAGUUGGCAGGGUAACGGCCUACCAAGGCGACGAUCCAUAGCCGGCCUGAGAGGGUGAACGGCCACAUUGGGACUGAGACACGGCCCAGACUCCUACGGGAGGCAGCAGUGGGGAAUAUUGCACAAUGGGGGAAACCCUGAUGCAGCGACGCCGCGUGAAGGAAGAAGUAUCUCGGUAUGUAAACUUCUAUCAGCAGGGAAGAUAGUGACGGUACCUGACUAAGAAGCCCCGGCUAACUACGUG